AAUCAACGCUGGCGGCGUGCCUCAGACAUGCAAGUCGAACGCGAAAGUUUCCUUCGGGAGAUGAGUAGAGUGGCGCACGGGUGAGUAACACGUAGGUAAUUUGCCUUUGGGUGGGGAAUACCAACCGGAAACGGUUGUUAAUACCGCAUAAUGCAGCGGCAUCAUAAGAUGACAGUUGUUAAAGCGGGGGAUUCGUAAGAACCUCGCGCCUAAAGAGGAGCCUGCGGCGGAUUAGGAGUUGGUGAGGUAAUGGCUCACCAAGCCUGCGAUCCGUAACCGACCUGAGAGGGUGGUCGGUCACACUGACACUGACAUACGGGUCAGACUCCUACGGGAGGCAGCAGUCGGGAAUUUUGGGCAAUGGGCGCAAGCCUGACCCACGCAACGCCGCGUGAAGGAUGAAGCAUUUCGGUGUGUAAACUUCGCAAGAACAGGAAGAAUAAGUGAAUAACUAAUACCGUUCAUGAU
rnacentral:rRNA from 1 species